rnacentral:sRNA from 1 species
UUAUAGCCCAGAUUGAAAUGGAAAUCCCGGAACAAAAAAAGUAAAGUUUCUUGUUCUAAAAAAGCGACCAGCGGAAGCUCUUUUUAGAACAAUAGAAACUAUACUUUUUUUGUGAGGAAUUGUAAUGGAAAGCUGGAAUAGCU